CCUCGCGCUGGGGCUGCUGGAGGGUGCUGCACCCAAGGGCGGGCGGGCACCUCGGCCCUCCACGGCCCACCAAACCCUCCCCGCCCUUUGGAUCCGGGAACUCUUAGCCCCUGGCUCCGCUCCCAGAGUCUUUUAUAAAGGUGCGUUAAAAACGUGUAAAAUGUACUGUUUAUGAUUGUCACUGCUAAAACUGCAGGAUUUCCCGUUUCUAUACUUCACCCCAGAUGGCCCCAUGCCCGGGCUGGUUGCGUUAGUUUUCCAACUGGUCUCCCAGCAAAAGUCGUUCUCCAUUUACCCAGCAGAGAGGUGAGAGAGAAAGACAAAGAGAGAAGGAGAGACACAGAGAGAACUGAGUUUUAUAUGCAGACUCACACUUUGCUGGUGUGUGUGCACAGAGCCCUGGGUGGCAGAAAGGAGUAAGCUCUUAGCUACUAACUGAAAGGUUGGAACCUACCCAAGGGUUCCACAGGAGAAAGACCUGGCAAUCUGCUUCUGCAAAGAUUACAAGUAAGGAAAUCCUUUGGGGCAGUUCUACCCUGUCGUGUGGGGUCUCUGUGAGCUGGAGCUGACUCCACAAGUACACAGCAACAACAUACACAGAGAAAACCUGUGGCCUUGAGUGAUUAUAUAGUGUCAUGUAUAGUUUCGGGGAAAUGAGCACCACAGAGUCACAGGAGCCUUGCCUAUGCUUUGGCAAGCCAGGGUGCACCAAGCUAACACUAUGAGUCAGCUGGCUGCUGCUGAACUAGAAAGAAACACUAUUCCCACCCUGGCUGUAUUGUAAACUGGAGUUGCAAAUCACAUUUCCCCCCCAAAACAAAAGCGAAAUAGCAACAACACUGGCAAAACCAAGCAAAAUGGUGAUGAUGAUUAACACUUUCAGAACUUCCUCAAUUACCUCUCCGAGGCAGACAGUUAACACUUCCAGUGCUUGCUUAAUUCCUUAUGUGAGGUAAAAAAAUCCAGUGCCGUCGAGUCGAUUCUGACCAUAGCGACCCUAUAUGUGAGGUAGGUACUAUUAAACGUCCUUGUGUACACAUCCUUGCCUACAGAGGAAGGAAUUGAGGCACUUGACAAGCUAAAUAACUUUUCUGAGGUUAUAUAGGUUUUAAUGGGUAAUACUGGAGUCUGUGGGUAGUACAAACGAUUAAUGAUUAAAGAGCUUGGCUGCUAAACGGAAGGUUGGAGAUUCAAGUCCACCCAGAGGCACCUAAGAAGAAAGGCCUGGUGGUCUAUUUCCAAAAAAUCAGCCAUUGGAAACCGCAGGAAGCACAGCUCUACUCUAACACACCUGGGGUCGCCACGAGUCAGAACCAGCUCCGUGGCAACUGGUAAAGGGGUGCUAUUGGCAUUCAAGCGCAAGCAGUCCCACUCUAGAGUCUAAGCUUUUACCAACUCUCUAAAAAACAACUAGAAGCAGUUAUAUAACGUGAAGCUGUAAACUCGAAGCAACUGAGCCUAACGAGUGCUGGAGCAAGUGUGUAGAAGGCAGAGACCACAAGCUUAGUUGACAGUAGACGUUGGGGUACUUCACUUUCUACAGAAGUAGACGUUUUGCCCUUUGAGUGAAGUAGUUGUUGUUGGCCCUCAAGUCAAUUCUGACUCAUAGCCACCCUAGGUACAACAGAACGAACACCGCCCAAUCCUGGCCACCCUCACAAUUGUUGCCAUGUUUGAGCCGAUUGUUGCAGCCACUGUGUCAACCCAUCUCUUCAGGGUCUUCCUCUUUUUCGCUGACCCUUUAUUUUACCCAGCGUGAUCUGCUUCUCCAGGAACUGGUCCCUCUUGAUAACAUAUCCAAAGUACGUAUGACGAAGUCUUGUCAUCCUUGCUUCUAAGGAGCAUUCUGGUUGUAUUUCUUCCAAGACAGAUUUGUUCGUUCUUCUGGCAGUCCACAGUAUAUUCAAUAUUCUCUGCCAACAGCAUAAUUCAAAGGCAUCAGUUCUUCAAUCGCCCUUAUUCAUUAUCCAGCUUUCAUGUGCAUAUGAAGCAAUUGAAAACACCAUGGCUUAGGUCUGGCGCAUCUUAGUCCUUAAAGUGCCAUCUUUGCUUUUUAACACUUCAAAGAGAUCUCACGCAACAGAUGUGCCCAAUGCAAUGCAUCUUUUGAUUUCUUGACGGCAGCUUUCAUGGGUGUUGACUGUGGAUCCAAGCAAAAUGAAAUCCUUGACAAGUUCAACUUUAUCUGAAUUUAUCAUGAUGUAGUUUAUUGGUCCAGUUGUGAGGAUUCUUGUUUUCUGUAUAUUGAGACGAAAUCCAUACUGAAGGCUGUGGUUUUUGAUCUUCAUCAGUAAGUGCUUUCAAGUCCUCUUCACUCUCAGCAGGCAAGGUUUUGUCAUCUGCAUAUCUAAGGUUGUGAAUGAGUCUUCCUCCAAUCCUGAUGCCCUGUUCUUCUUCAGUUAGUCCAACUUUCGGGAUUAUUUGCUCAGCAUACAGAGUGAAUAAAUAUGGUGAAAGGAUACGACGCUGACACACGGCUUUCCUGACUUUAAAUCACGCAGUAUCCCUUUGUUCUGUUUGAACAACUAUCUCUUGAUCUAUGUACAGGUUCCUCUUGAGCACAAUUAAAUGUUCUGAAAUUCCCUUUCUUUUCAGUGUUACCCAUAAUUUGUUAUGAUCCACAUAGUCAAAUGGCUCUGAAUAGUCAAUAAAACAGAGGUAAAUAUCUUUCUGGUAUUCUCUGCUUUCAGCCAAGAUUCAUCUGAUAUCAGCAAUGAUAUCCCUCAUUCCACAUCCUCUUCUGAAUCUGGCUUGAACUUCUGGUAGUUCCCUGUUGAUAUAAUGCUGGAGCCACUUUUGAAUGAUCUUCAGCAAAAUUUUAUUUGCAUUUGAUAUUAAUGAUAUUGUUUGAUAAUUUCCGCAUUCUGUCGGACCACCUUUCCUGGGAAUGGGCAUAAAUAUGGGUCUCUUCCAGUCUGUUGGCCGGGUAGCUGUGUUCCAAAUUUCUUGGCAUGGAUGAGUGAGCAUUUCCAGUGCUGCAUCUAUUUCUGGAAAUAUCUCAGUUGGUAUUCUGUCAAUUCCUGGAGCCUUGUUUUUUGCCAACGCCUCCAGUGCAACUUGGACUUCUUCCUUCAGUACCAUCAGUUCCUGAUCAUAUGGUACUUCUUGAAAUUUGUUGAACGUCGACCAGUUCUUCUUGGUAUAGUGACACCAUGGAUUCCUUCCACCUUCCCUUGAUGUUUCCUGUGUUGUUUAAUAUUUCCCCUAUAGAAUCCUUCAAUGAUACAACUCACUCAGUUCUUUCAGCUUGAGAAAUACAGAGUGUGUUCUUCCCUUUUGGUUUUCUACCUUCAGGUCUUUGCACAUGUCAUUAUAGUACUUUGUCUUCUCGAGCUGCCCUUUGAAAUCUUCUAUUUUGCUUUUUUACUCCAUCAUGGCUUCCUUUUGAUUUAGCUACUCUGCAUUCAAGAACAAGUUUCAGAGUCUCUUCUGACAUCUGUUUUGGUCUUUUUCUUUGCUGUCUUUUUAAUGACAUCUUGGACGGCACUGGGUUUUUGGGUUAUGUUUUCUUUGUGUAUGGUGUACUUGAUGUCAUUCCACAAUUCAUCUGGUCUUCGAUCAUUAGUGUUUGACCCAUCAAAUCUAUUCUUGAGAUGGUCUCUAAAUUCGGGUGGGAUAUACUCAAGGUCAUAUGUUGGCUCUCGUGGAUUUGUUCUAAUUUUCUUCACUUUCAACUUGAACUUGCAUAUGAGGAAUUGAUGGUCGAUUCCACACUUAGCCCCUGGCCUUGUUCUGACUGAUAAUAUUGAGCUUUUCUAUCAUGUCUUUCCACAGAUGUAGUCAGUUUGAUUCCUGUGUAUUCCACCUGGCCAGGUGCACGUGUAUAGUCACCAUUUAUGUUGGCGAAAAAAGGUAUUUGCAGUGAAGAAGUUGUUGGUUCAUAAAAUUCUAUCAUGCAAUCUCUGGCAUCGUUUCUAUCACCAAGGGCAGACUUUCUAAUUACCAAUCCUUCUUUGUCUCCAAUUUUCACAUUCCAAUCACCAGUGAUUACCAAUGCAUCCUGAUUGCAUGAUUGAUGAAUUUCAGGCUUCAGACGCUGGUAAAAAUCUUCAAUUUCUUCAUCUUUGGUCUUAGUGGUUGGUGUAUAAAUUUGAAUAAUAGUUGUAUUAACUGGUCUUUAUUGUAGUCGUAUGUACAUUAUCCUAUCACUGAAAGCAUUGUACUUUAGGACAGAUCUUGAAAUGUUCUUUUUGGUGAUGAAUGCAGUGCCAUUCUUCUUCAAUUUGUCAUUCUUGAUGUAGUAGACCAUAUGAUUGUCCAAUUCAAAAUUGCCAAUACCAGUCCAUUUCAGCUCACUAAUGCCUAGGAUAUCGAUUGUUACGUGUUCCAUUUCAUUUUUGAUGAUUUCCAAUUUUUCUAGUUUCACACUUCAUACAUUCCAAGUUCCAAUCAUUAAUGGAUGUUUGCAGCUAUUUCUUCUCAUUUUGAGUCGUGCCACAUCAGCAAAUGAAGGUCCUGAAAGCUUGACUCCAUCCGCGUCAUUAAGGUCGACUCUACUUUGAGGAGGCAGCUCUUCCCCAGUUGUAUUUUGAGCGAGGGGUUCAUCUUCCGGCAAUAUUUCAGACAACGUUUUACUGCUACUCGUAAGGUUUUCACUGACUAAUUCUUUUCAGACAUAGACCGCCAGGCCCUUCUUCCUAGUCUGUCUUAGCCUGGAAGCUCAGCUGAAACCUGUCUGCCAUGGGUGACCUGCUGGUAUUUGAAUACUGGUAGAAUAGCUUCCAGCAUCACAGCAGCACGCAAGCCCUCACAAUACGAGAAACUGACACACGUGUGGGGGAUUAUAAUAUCAGAGUAUUAUAAUGACAUGUGCAAGGUGAAGUGGUUGAGAGCUGGAGAUAGCAUGGGAUCUGCAGGUAGCAUACAGAGCAGGAAUCUAUUUUAAAACAUGGUCCAGGUAAGAAAUGUCCUUCCACUCUAUAUCUCUAGUGGAUCUGGUUAAAAAUAAAUCCAGUAUAAGAAAUUGUGAUAUUCUUUUAAGAAAAAUAAUUAUGUAUGUUCAUAUCAGAAUGAUAUAAAUUGGAAUGAGCCCUGAUGUAUUGACAUUAAUAUUAGAUGUUGAAGCCCAAAGUCUUUGAACUUUGAAUGUAACCACAGUGCAUUCAGGAGUGUGAUGCUGUAUUCUUACGGUAACCAGAAAAUAGAGUGCAUACCAAUGAAUUUAAAUGCAAAUUAAUACUAAUUGGUUGAAAAAACAUGUCAGGUAUUUACCAAGCAAUGUUAUCCAAUGUUAUGAUCUAUACAGUCGAAUGCCUUUUCAUAGUCAGUAAAACACAGGUAAACAUCUUUCUGGUAUUCUCUGCUUUAAGCCAAGAUUCAGCUGACGUCAGCAAUGAUAUCUCUGGUUCCAUAUCCUCGUCUAAUUCUUUGACUACACAAAGGCAUUUGACUGUGUGAAUCAUAACAAAUUAUGGAUAACAUUGUGAAAAAUGGGAAUUCCAGAACACUUAAUUGUGCUCAUGAGGAACCUGUACAUAGAUCAAGAGACAGUUGUUCUAACAGAACAAGGGGAUACUCUAUGGUUUAAAGUCAGGAAAGGUGUGUGUCAGAGUUGUUUCCUUUCACCAUACCUAUUCAAUCUAAAUGCUGAGCAAAUUACCUGAUAUAUAUAAAGAAGAACGGGGCAUCAGGAUUGGGGGAAGACUCAUUAACAACCUGUGAUAUGCAGAUGACACAACUUUGCUUGCUGAAAGUGAAGAGGACUUGAAGCACUUACUGAUGAAAAUCAAAGACCACAGCCUUCAGUGUGAAUUGCACCUCAUCAUAAAGAAAACAAAAAUCUUCACAGCUCAACCACUAAGCAAUCAUGAUAAAUGGAGAAAAGAUUGAAGUUGUCAAGGAUUUCGUUUUUCUUGGAUCCACAAUCAACACCCAUGAAAACAGCAGUCAAGAAAUCAAAAAAAGAUGCAUUGAGCUGGGCAAAUCUGCUGUAAGAGAUCUCUUUAAAGUCUUGAAAAGCAAAGAUGUCACCUUGAGGACUAAAGUGCACUUGUCCUAAGCCAUGAUGUUUUCAAUUGCCUCAUAUGCAUGCAAAAGCUAGACAAUGAAUAAGGAAGACUGAAGAAGAAUUGACACCUUUGAAUUGUGGUUCUGGCAAAGAAUAUUGAAUAUACCAUGGACUGCCAAAAGAAUGAACAAAUCUUUCUCGGAAGAAGUACAACCAGAAUGCUCCUUAGAAGCAAGGAUGGCGAGACUAUGUCUCACAUACUUUGGACACGUUAUCAGGAGAGAUCAGUCCCUGGAGAAGAACAUCAUGCUAGGUAAAGUAGAGGGUCAGAGAAAAAGAAGAAGAUCCUCAAUGAGAUGGAUUGACACAGUGGCUGCAACAAUGCACUCAAGCACAACAAGGAUGGUGAAGAUGGCGCAGGACCGAGCAAUGUUUCCUUCUGUGUACGUAGGGGUCGCUAUGAGUUGUAACCAACUUGACAGCACCUAACAACAACAUUUUCCAAGCAAUAUUAAAAACAUUAAUAAAAUGAUUUUGAAGUUCCCAGCUUUGAAGCAAAAGAAAACAAACUUGUUGCCAUCAAGUUGGUCAUAGUGAGCCUAUAGGACAGAGUAGAACUGCCCCACAGGAUUUCCAAGGCUGUAAAUCUUUACUGCGGCAGACUGCCACAUCUUUCUCCCAGGAGCAGCUGAUGGAUUCAAACCACUGACUUUUUGGUUACCAGUAGAACUCUUAAGCUCUGUACCACCAGGGUUUUUUAAGUUUGGAGCCGCCAUUAUUCAGUUUCCUUGAGCAGCCUCCUGGUAGUUCUUGUUGGCAGAAAGACUUCUAAGAGGCCCUCCUUGAACUAACCAGCUGAGCAGUCUUUGGACCUCCUCAGCACAGCCUAGGAAGCAGAUAUGGGAACCUUUGCAAUUGCUUUUUAGAUACAAGACCGAAAACAAAUGACUACGUUUUGAUUUCAAUUUGAUUCAGCAAGUUUAUUAGAUAUUUACCAUGUUUUCUACAUAAUAUCAGUUUAAAUACGAUUCUGCAUUUGGAAGUCUCUUGGUCUUAUUUCUAGAGCAACACUGUCUGUGCUUUCACAAUAUAAAUUAUUUCAUACAGUUGCCUGAGAUAAUGGGAUAAUGUUUUUUAUCAAGUUGACAAAGAUCAUAUUUAAUGCUGGUGAAGGGGGGAAGGUAAGUUAGUAUAAUCCUUCUGGAAAAUUGUUUGUCAGUAUGAAUCUAGAAACUUCCAAUGGCCUUAAGUAAUUCCACUUUUAGUUUUAUAUAUGGUAAUAAUUAGAGAUAUGGAUAGAGAUUGGACUAAAAGUGUAUUUAUUACAGGUUCUUCCCCUUUUAGUUGCAGUUCUGUUAUAUGUGACCAUACAUGUUGGAACUCCUGCCUAUUCUCAUUCUCAUCUCUCUCUCAAGACUCCUUCCUUGCCCAUCACUUCAAUUAUCUUUUCUAUGUAGGGACUUAAAAAUUGACCUCACUUCUCACAGCACAGCCACCUGACAAACUGACACUUCUACUUGGAUAGCUCAAAGACACCAAAUUCAGGAACCCAAAAUUGAACUCAUGCGUUUUCUUCCUAGUCCUCUCCCAGUUUUCCUGUGAGGAAACAAUGUCAUUCUUAUACUUCAGAUCCUUCAAAGACUUCCCAAUGCUCUUAAAAUAAGGCUCUGCCCUGGUAGUUAUAGGGAUGAAUGUCAAAUUCUAGAAACCAAUAUGACCAAACUAGAGAAUUUAUUAAACUUCUUUCUUUGGCCUUCCAAUUUUAUAGGUUGUUAAGCAUUACACUGAACUACUGGACAUUCUAAACCAAGUGGAUAUAUUCCAGAUAUCUGACCCUGAUGUUCCUGUAGCUCAGCUGGUGAUUUUUAACUUUCUUGCCAAAGAGAAUUAUUUUGAGUUGUAAUAAAGUGACUCUUGAAAUUAGAAUUGAACUUCUAGAACUAAAAGUGCAACGUGUACAUUAUGAUUAUCAUUACUGAGUUGUAUUAAUUAUUAUCAUCUUAAGAAGUAUUCUGUGGUGGAUGCAAAGUAGAAUUCUUUUGUUUUUUUUAAUAACUCAGUAAAAUCAAUGGUAAAGGAUCAGAAACAAUGUGUUAAGAAUAAGCAUUCCUUAAAUGAUUAGUUCACCUUCAUUCUGUUGGACUCACCUUUGUACAGAAUUGAACAAGAUGGAAGUCAAAGUAGCAGAGAAAAAAACCAAAUUAAUCCACCCUGCUCAAAGAGUGCACAACCUAAUGAGGAUGAUAAACAUAAUGUCAACUUUAUAGUGCUGAGAACACCAGUUCUCCAGAACGGUGUUUUUCAACAAGGGGCUGCAGAUUAGACUCGCCAGACCAGCUUGUAAACGUUCUUCCGUGCAGGUGGUACAUCAGACUAUCUGGGGGAAUUUAAUUACCCAAGACAAGCAGUUUGUAAAGCUCCCAGGUGUUUUCAAUGGGCAGUCAAAUUGGAGAAUUAAAUGUGAAUGAAAACCAGAAAACCAAACGAGUUUUCUUGAGGUCGAUUCUGACUCAUGGCAACCCCAUGUGUGUCGGCGUUUCAUAGGGUUUUCAACGGCUGAUUUUUUGGGGGUAGAUCACCAAGACUUUCUUCUGAGGUGGCUUUGGGUGGACUCAAACCUCCAACUUUUUGGUUAGCAGCGUAGCAUGUUAAUAGUUUGCAUUACCCAGGGACUCUAAGUAUGAAUGAAUUGCUUUGUUAAUGAAUCUCAUUCUUUUAAACCUUAAGAAAAGCCUUUUAUUUAUGAGUCUAAGCUUAAAUCAGAUGCAGAUUUUAAUGUGGGGGUCACAGAGGCAGUUUGGGGUUCUUUUAAUGCUGUUUCACAGACUGAGAAGGGGAAGAAUUAGGAGCCAAGCUAGUGUGGCUUUUAGACAAGAAAGCAAUGUUUAAAGAUUCAUAAUUCAUUGUGAUACAGUAUUUCAAAACCCAAUUUCACAGAUUAGGGUAAAGAAACAUCUGAAAAAACAAACUUCUUUGAAGUGAGUCUCCUGAAACACGCUCAUCAGUGUGACUUAGAAUCUGAACGUGAAAGCCUGUGUGAAAAGAAGCCUGUUGUCUUUUCUGUGGAGGCAUUAACGGUGUUGAUUUUAGAAGCAUUCACCCUUUUUUGUUCCACAUGAUUUCCAUUUAUUCACAUACUCAGGUUAGAAUAAUCGUUUUGAUUAACUUAUUUUUUUUCCCUGGAAGAUAUUGAAGAGGUAGAACUCAGGCUAUGUUGAGUGCUUGAGUAUAUACUUGGAGGGUAGUUUCUGAGUAUCCUCUAUAGUGAUGCUAACUCUUCAUUUUGCCAACCAUCACUUCUCUUAGUAUCUUAAUGGUAUUCCUCCUGCUCAGAAAGCCACCUCACCUAUUCUGAGCUCGAUAACUGAGAGUGGGGUUUUCAUGCGUAUGAGAUAUGAUUGCAAAAGCUCACUGGGACAAACUGUAACUUAAAGCAGAAAUUGGCCCCAAGGCAUUAUCAAGUUAAGGCUCUCCUAGUCCCCCUACCAUCAAAUUGAUUUUAGCAAAUCAUCUCCUAAGCCAUUAAUUACUGGUAAUUAUCAGUUGGAAGUUUUGCAUUCCCUCACCUUUAUUAAAUACCAUAAAUUCUGUUAGUUUUUGUUUUAGGGAAGAAUAACAAACCUAUCUAAAUGUAUCAGACAGCACAUAUUUAGAAGAAUCUUAAACCAGCCUGAGCUGUGCUGAAGCUGUAGUUUUAAUCCAUGAAUUCGACAUACUUCACAAAUAAUUUGUUUUCAUAAAUACUAUUUCAAUAUCUGAUAGAGAUACUAUAAAACAAUGAGAAAAGGCCCAUGUCAUGUUCAAAUAGGAGAGUUUAUUAUCCAAAAUUAUUUUUACUAAUUACCAAAACAAUGUUGGGCUUGACUGUGGUUUGAAAUAAGUAUUUAUGUUUGAAGAAACUCUGCUUGUUACAUUGCAGGUCAGAUUUAGGGUCCUUGCAACCCAGCGUUCUGUUCUUGACAGAGAGAGGAGAUGUUUUUCAAAGACUCUGGCUGCCUUUCAGAGCCCUGGUGACACCGUGGUUAAGAUCUUGGCUGCUAACCAAAAGGCUGGCAGUUCCAGUCUACCAGCUGCUCCUUGGAAACCCUAUGGUGUCCGUUCCACUUUGCCCUGUAGAGUCACUGUGAGUUGGAAUUACUUGAUGGCAACAGGUUUGAUUUUGGUUUUGUCUGCUUUUCAGGCUACCUCAGAGGCAUAUCCUACCUUUGUUAGGCAUUGGUUAUGAAUUUACCAUGAAUUUUCCUAAAAAUUUCUAUGUCAGUUUAUAUUUUAGCUGGGACUACAAGUUACAGUGUAGAAAUUCAAGAAUUUACAUAUAAUACCAUCUUCAAAUAUCAGAAAUUUUUGCAGGACUUAGAUGACCCCUAAACACAUACUACAUUAUUUAAAGAAUUGUUUUUUAAAUUCAUAUCAAACUGAAAUAGUUGUACAUCGUUUUUGAAGUCAAAUAAUACUAUAAGGUUCCUAAUGAAAAAAAAAGUAGUCCUCAAACACACCCAAACUCUGAUUCCUGCUCCUAGUCUUUUAAUUUGAUGCUUUUUUUCUUGGUAUUUACCCCAUAUCGAUAACAUGCAUAAUUUAGUACCUCUUGCAGUUUCUAUUAUAGACAUUACAUGUUGGCUUUUGUCUUAGUUAUCUAGUGCUGCCAUAACAGAAAUACCACAGGUGGAUGGCUUUAACAAACAGAAAUGUAUUUUCUCACACUCUAGUAGAUUACAAGUCCAAAUUCAGGGCUUCUGCUCCAGGGGAAGGCUUUCUCUCUCUGUCGGCUCUGGAGAAAGGUCCUUGUCCUCAAUCUUCCCCUGGUGAAGGAGUUUCUCAGGUGUAGGGAGCCCAGGUCCAAAAGAUGCCCCCUGCUCCUAGUGCUGCUUUCUUGGUGGUAUGAGGUCCCCAACUCUCUGCUUGCAUUCCUUUCGUUUUAUCUCUUGAGAGAUAAAAGGUGGUGCAGGCCCUGCCCCAGGGAAACUCCCUUUACCUUGGAUCAGGGAAGUGACCUGAAUAAGGGUGGUGUUACAAUCCCACCCUAAUCCCCUUAACAUAAAAUUACACUCACAAAAUGGAGGACAACCACACAAUACUGGGAAUCAUGGCCUAAGUUGACAUAUGAAUUUUGGGGGACACAGUUUAAUCCAUGACAGCUUUCUACUCUUGAAGAUCAUCUUACAUCAUCUCUCACACACAGAAUAUCGCACUCACACACACAACUUUAGCUGUACAUAUAUAUAUGUACCCUUCCCCAGUGUAGUUAUUUCACAAUUUUUGCCUAAGUCUGUAUUCAAUAUUGACAUCAGUAUGACAUACUUAUUACUCACAGCCAAACCACACAUAGUAUAUAAUUAUUACAUUUCCAUUCUUGCAAAACUUGUUGCUUUUCUGGAGUUAAUGCAUACUUCCUUUUUUUUGCUUGGUUACCUAUCAUUUUCUGAGUACUUGGCAAAUGACAGAUACUGGGCUAAGCACUUUACAGUAUAUUAACAAUUUAAUUCUUGUAAUUAUCAUUUUACAAAUGAGGGAACUGAGGAACUGAAAGGUUGAAUAACUUGAUGUUACAAAGUCAGUAAGUGGCUGAAUUGAGAUUUGAACUGAGGCACUCUGAUUUCUUCUUAAUCACAGCAAAGUAUUAAAAAUGCCCAAAGCUUUAGGGGCUACUGGCUUGGAGCGGUGACCUGGCCUGGAUUUCUCGUGGUAAAUGGAGGAGGAAAAAAAAUGACGAAUUUAAUUUUGGACAAAUUAGAAUGAGGAGAUACCAGGAUACAUAAAUACCUGUCCUAUAACAGCUGUACCUAUGUGACUAAGGCAGAAACUUGCCCUGAGAAUAUGAACUGGAGAAUCUUUAACAUGGAAAUGAUAGGUUAAAAGAUGAGAAAGUAUGAUUUCUCGAAGCAAGUGAAUUUCCAAAGAGAAGAGCAGAAGAGAUGAGGUCAAACUUUAUGGUGAAUAUACAGUGAAGACGUUGGGAAAAGGUACAAAGCUAGAAUCAAAUACAAACAGUUCUAAAGGUGGGAGGAGAAUGAGACUAGGGGUAAGAGCCCAGCCAAGGAAGACUUUCCCAAAAGGUGAGCAAAAAAUAAAGAGGGUUCCUGCAGAGAGGUGGAGGGUGAUUAGUGAGAAAAAAAAAAAAUUGAGUAGAAGGUGGUUAUUAACGACCUCCACCAAAGUGUUAAUAAAUAUUAAGUAUAAAUAGGAGUAGAUAUUAGAUAUUUUACAGAUUUUUCUUUUUUUUUUAUGUUUGUUUGAUUUGGGGGGAUGGCAGAGGUAAAUUUUUCUUGCUACUCAAAGUAUUCCUGAGUUGAGUCCCAGAAGCUUUCUUAGAACUUGCCCCAAGCCAAGCCCGUUGCUGUCGAUCCUGACUCAUACUUAACCCACUGCCAUUAAGUGGAUUCCCACUCUUAGUGACCCUAUGGGACAGAGUAGAACUGCCCCAUAGUUUCCAAGGAGCACCUGGUGGAUUCAAACUGCCUGCUUUUUGGUUAGCAGCCGUAGCUCUUAACGAAGCACCAGAGUUUCCGACUCACACUUAGAUACCUGCAAUAUCAGAGGAACAGAGAGUGUUAGAGAUGAGAAGGGCCUCAGGGGUUCACCCUGGUUCAUUUUUUUUUUAUUAUUAUUCAUGGGGAAACUGCAGUAUAAAGUGUUGAGUGAUUCUACCAGAGAAGCAAGACCUCUGAGUUGGGCCCUGAAGUCUGAUCUGAAUCCAGGCCCCUGCUUUUCCUCCUCAUAUCACCAUGUAGCUUUGACACAACAGGCAGAGUUAGUGAAAAGCUUUCCUCUCUCUUCUGACUUCGUAUCUUAACUUGAGGAGUGAAUGCAGCGUGAUGGAGGGAGACCCUGGGCCAAACGAAGGGAUUUAUAAAAAAUCCUCCAUUGUUGAAUCAGACCAUUGAGUUGUGUCUUCUUUGUUUGGUUCAAUGCUUUAGAUGCCCAGUGCCUUUUUUAGAUAUAAUAAAAGGUAGGUUUAGAAUCAGUAGUGUCAGAAGAAUAUGCAUAGUGUAUAUCCAUUUAAAGACUUUAAAAUUGUGACACAACUUGUAGCAUCAGAAAAUAUAAAAAAAUAGCAGUGGUUGAGACUUUAAGAAUGAACUUCUGUGUAAUUUUAUGUAGUUUAGCACAUCACCAUGGAGACAGACUGCUGGGGUCAGACAUGGUUUUUUUUUAGCUAUGCUGCCUGUCCUUUUGUCUGUUAAUACAUCUUUUUACUCAGGAGCCAGGAGAUUUGCUCUUACAUGGUUAGGCAUUUAAGCCGACUGAUAAAAGAUGUUAUCAGGAGGGACCAGUUCCUGGAGAAGGACAUCAUGCUUGGUAAAGUAGAGGGUCAGUGAAAAAGAGGAAGAUCCUCAAGCAGACGAAUUGACAUGGUGGUUGGGACAAUGGGCUCAAGCACAGCAAUGAUUGUGAGGAUGGCACAGGACUGGGCAGUGUUCGGUUCCGUUGUACAUAGGAUUGCUGUGAGUCAGAACUGAAUCGAUGGCACCUAACAACAAAAAUUUUUUAAAUUGUGGUAUCUGGGAACCCAUAAAGAGUGUACCAUGUUUCUAGAGCAAUCUGUAAGCUAGUUUGUAAUAUGAAAGAAUGUGUCUGCCAUUUCAAACUAGACUCCCAAAUUAGUGAAGGCUUGGGACUGUCCCGUUUGUCAUCUAUGUAGGGUGUGAUCCAUGAAUCGUGUGCUUGCUUCAGGCUGUGUGUCUUUGGACUCAUCUAUUCUCAAUGGCACUGGGGAGACUGAAGCAACUUACCCAACUUCACCAGUGACGUAGGUAAAAAGGCAGAAAGAACUUCUGUUUUACAGUUUAAAAUUAGCCAAAAGCUAGCUACUCAAAAAAAACAAAUUUUUUUAAAUAAUUUGAUGUUUCCUCUUUCAGCUCUGUGAGAGUCAUUUUCAUUUUGCAGUAGCUCUCCAAAACGUGAAUCUUCACAAGAAAGCUGUUGAGCAAUUAACCAAAGCUGCAAAGAUUGCCUCUGUGCCAAAGGUAAACCUGGCGAGCUAUUGUUCAGAAUUUUCAAAACUGUGUGAGUUGUAGGGUUACAGUGUAAUGUAUAAUGUUUUUAUCUUCUGAUUUUUCUCAUAGUUCAUUUAUCCCAGGGUGACUGAGAGCUGUGACGUUCCAGCUGUAGUCCGUGACAUACAUACCUCACGUAAAACAUGUGAAAUAAUCCAGCCCAGAAAACACAACGCAUUGCUGGGUUCACAUCAGCCGAAUUGCUGUAAUGUUGGCUGUAAAUACGAGACUUUCUUUCACACAUCAAUAUUUUCAAGAAUGGCAUAUUCCCAUGCAGUACGUGGACAGAUGAAAGAAGCAAUAAAGGAUGCUAACAAAGCUAUUUCUUUGGACAGUCUAAACCUGGUAGGUUUGAUAAAUUUUAAAAGUAAAAUAAAUGACAAAUAGUGGUAUACUAUUCCCCAUGAUUCUUGCUUUUAUCAACCAUGUUUGUUAUUUUUUUACAUAUUGUAAUUACUUCUCCCUGUUUUGUUGUAUAGGAACCCUGGUGGCACAGUGAUGAAGGUGUUCGGCUGCUAACCAAAAGGUCUGCAGUUCGAACCCACCAGGUGCUCCACGGGAGAAAAAUGUGGCAGUCUGCUUCUGUAAAGAUUUACAGCCUUGUAAACCCUAUAAAUUACUAUGAGUUGUAAUCGACUUGCUGGCAGUGGGUUUUUUUUCAAACCCUAUGGGGCGGUUCUACUCUGUCCCACUGGGCCACCAAGAGUUGGAAUCAAUUCGACCUCAGUGAGUUUUUCAAUUUAUCGAAUGUCUGUGCCAUUGUAUAUCUCCUUGGCUAAUUUUUGUAUCAGCAAAAAUUGUGCAUCUUUUAUACAAGAAUAAUACAAGAAUAAAAUUUAGGAAGACUUAGUUAAGUUAAAAACCCUACUGUAAUCAAUAAAAUGAUACUACAGCUGAUUCACUACUACACAAUAUCUUCACAAAAUGUGCCUAAAGAAAGAACUUUACUUCAGUGAAAUAGAUUGAUAAGAUGUUGCAUUAGCAUUAUUAAUAAUUUUGUCACCAAAUGGUAUAUGCCAUUUUCUGAUAAGUAGAGCAAAUGAGUAUAAACAAUGUAAAUGCAUGGAGAACCCAAACCAAAACCCGUUGCUGUUGAAUCAAUUCCACCUUGUAGCGACCCUGUAGGAGAGAGUAGAACUGCCCCAUAGGGCUUCCAAGGCUGUAAAUCUUUAGGGAAGCAGACUGCCACAUCUUCCUCCCACGGAGCAGCUGGUGGAUUGAACCACCGACCUUUUGGUUAGCAGCUGAGCACUCAACCACUGCACCACCAGGCUCCUUAAAUGCGUGGUGAAUAUUAUUAUAAUUCUAUAGCUGGAGAAGCCUAAAAGAUAUCUGAUCCAAUUCUCUCAUUUUGCAGAUGAGGAAACUGAGAUCAAGGCAAUUGAUUAGUCAAAGUUUUGUGGACUCCAGGGCCACCAGGUUAUAAAUGGCACUAACAGUAGGGGGCACCAUUUCCAUAAUCUAUGCUUAGACCAGACUCCCUGGAUGGUACAGAUGGUUAAGCACUCAGCAUCUUGGAAGAAAGGCCUGGUGAUCUAAGUCUGAAAAACAAGCUAUUGUAAGCCCUAUGGAGCACAGUUCUACUAUGACAUGCAUGGGGGUGCCAUGAGUCAGAAGGACUCCAUGACAACUAGUUGGCUGGUUGGUUGGUUAUGUUUAAAUCCUGUGAAUGGCGCCCCUGGGUUUUACCUGCAUAGUUACAUAAUUUUAGUAUGGCCCCAUUAGUUAACAAACUCUUAGGGCAAAAAUCUCUGUCUUCCAAUUCCUUGGUUGAGGCUUUUUCUACUAAGCUACAUUAGUCUGCUUUAUGUCUUUUUUGCUUUUUAUUUUAUUUUUUCUAAAGCCUAAACAUUAACCACUUCUUUCCAUGACUUUUGCAUUUCUCAGGAUGUGUACUGUGUUAGAGCGUUUGCGUGGAAUUCAUGCAAAGAAACCAAAAGGGCCAUUUAUGAUUUGAACUAUGGCCUUAGGCUAAAUCCUUCUCACAUUUGUACCUUAAUAUUGAGAGGGGCCAUCACCAAGUCUAUUACAGAUACAAAUGGGCAAUUUGAUGAGAAUGAAGAUCAUGAAAAGGUAAAUGCAAUUUCCAAAAAGCUUUUGACAUGAUGAAUUAGAAAUGAAUAUGUUUUUUCUAUUACCUAAAGUUUUAGCCCUAGUAAGAAAUAUGAAGUGAAAAGCAUUAAACUAGUAAGUGUAAUUUUUUGGGGGAGGGGGGAGGAGACUUAGAAAUCAUUGCAUAAUGGUAGUAUUAACCUAGCCAAAAAGAAAUUAUAAAACAGAAUAAGAAGACCCUGUGUAUGUGAGUGAUUUAUAGAUGCAUCCCAAAAGUUCUCAAAGUAUAAUAUACUAACACACACUUUUUGAUUUUUAAAUAUCUUUGGAAGAAGGGGCCCUGGUGUCAGAGUGGUUAAGAGCUUGGCUGCUAACCGAAAGGUCGGCAGUUUGAAUCCACCAGCCACCCCUUAGAAAUCCAAUGGGGCAGUUCUUCUCUGUCUUAUAAGGUCGCUGUGAGUUGGAACCGACUCAAUGGCAACAAAAGCUCAUUUACAUCUCUUAUUUAGAAUGAAAAUUCAUUUCCACUUCCUAACAGCAUACUCAUUUCCUUUUAGUUUUCCAAACGUUUUCUUUAAUAAGCAUACACUGUCCAGGAUAAUGGAGCCCUGGUGGCUCCAUCGAUUAAGAGCUCCAGUGGUUAAGAGCUCAGCUGCUAACGAAAAAAGGUCAGCAGUUCAAAUCCACCAGCUGCUCCUUGGAAACCCUGUGGGGCAAUUCUACUCUGUCCUGUAGGUGGCUAUGAGUUGGAAUCAACUCUACAGCAACAGGUUUGUUUUUUGGAAGAAGAUAUUUAAAUUUUUUAAAUGGUAUAAUACGCUAACAUAUAUUUUUUAUUUUUAAAUAUCUUUGGAAGAAGAUAUUUAAAUCUUUUAACAUCUUUGAAAGAAAUAUUUGAAAGAAACAUUUACCUUUUAUACCUGUUCUAUCAGUGCCACACCAAUGACAUCUAUCCAUCAAUUAAAUAUGAGAUGAGUUGCAAACAGUCCUUUUACUUUUCCUGAAGCCCCACUUCGCAAUCUGAAGCUACCUUUUGGUAUUGUGGAAGAAGCGAUCUUGUGGCCAGUCUGAAGUGAUCCCCCCCGGGGAAUGCUUUGAGGUUCAAUCAAAAAAAUUCAGAAAGCUUGGUUGGCUUUUGGUCCCUUUGUUUCAGUUGGAUGUAUUGCCAGUGAUCACCUCAAAGCUCUUUUUGGGAGCUAAUUCUUUCACCUGUGUUACUGGGUAGGAGGGCAAACUUUAUCUGAUCUUUGCCACAGAUCUUUACGUAGGGUUUCUCAAACUCAGCAUUAUUGGAUAAUUCUUUGUUGUGUCCCUUACAUUGUAAGGUGUUUAGCAGCAUCCCUGACCUCUACCCACUAGAUGCCAGCAGCAACCUCUCUCCCACCUGUGACAACCAAAGGUGCCUCUGUUGUUGUUAGGUGCUGUCGAGUCGAUUUUUGACUCAUAGCGACCUCAUGUAACAGGGUAGAACUGCCCCAUCAGGUUUUCUCGGCUGUAAUCUUUACAGAAGCAGAUUGCCAGACCUUUCUCUUCCAGAGCCGCUGGGUAUGUUCGAGCCACCAACCUUGCAGUUAGCAACUGAGCACUUAACCAUUGUGCCACCAGCGCUCAUUAAAAGUGUCUCUACGUGCUGCCAAAUGUCCUCUGUAGGCAAAAUGGCCUCUAACUGAGAAGUGCUGCUUUAGUCUCUUGUUCUGCUUAAUGCAGUCUUUGAAAAAGGCUCUGAGCAAAAACCAUCUUAUUUCUUGUUCGUGGGUGCAGAAGCAGUUAAGCUUUUUCAACUUUUGAAGCCCCAGAUGUCUGGAUAUUUAUCAUUUUACCUCUUGCAAACUGGCCUGUUCCAGCUGAUCUCAUCUCUUUCUUAAAAUGAUUUGUUAGAAAAGUGGCAAGGAGCUGCUAGUGCACAGUGACAUUCUGAUUCUUUCCAGCUGCUCCCCUAGAGCUGUAAGCAUGGUAGACAGAAGCUUUGCCUUAACAGAGAACAGUUCUACCGCAAGUUUUGCUGUGGCACAACAAGAGUUGCCCGAGUUUUAGCCUGCAGUGAUCUUGUACCCCUUAUUCCUGCUAUCACACUUCUAAGCCAAAAUCACGUGUUUUAAGCUUUUGUAAUGACAGCAUUCCAUUUCCGAGUAUCAAUCUCUGCUUCAGAUUUGAACUACACGGAAAAGCCAGCCAUUUGAAGACCAAGGGAAAGAAGAUUUUAGGGAGGGAAAAACAGCUAGUGGAAAGAUGGAGGGCUGGGAACAUACUUAGACCUUUUGGGAAACUGAAAGAAAGCCAGUAUGGAUGGACCAUAGUGGGAAAGGGUAAAGCAGUAAGAGAUGAGGUCGCUACGAUAGACAGAGGCCAGAUCUGUAGUACUUUCUGGCCAGUGUAGGAAGUUUGGAUUUUAUUCUGUGAGCAAUGGAAAUCCACUGAAGUGUUUUAAGCAGAGAAAGGGGGAGAGGGAAAUUUGAUCAUCCUGAGUACUAUGGGGAAAAUGGAUCACAGGGAAGCAAAAGUAUGAGCAGGAAGUCCUAUAAGAAGUUCAUGUGAGAUGUGAUGGUUGCUUGGAUUGGGGCUAUAGCCAAAGAGAUGGAGAAAAAUAGACCAUUGGCAUGAGUUGUGUCUUAGAGUUGGAGGGACUCCUUGAUGAAUCGACUAUCCAUAGUGAGGGAAAAGAAGAAUUAAGGAUAUUUACUGGAGUUUGGCUUCAGAAACUGUGGGAAUGAUGGUUUCAUUUAUUCAGCUGAGGAAGACUCUGAAGUAAAAGCAACUGUUUUGAUCAAAUUAAGUUUUAGAUUCCAUUAGUCAACCAUGUGGUGGUAGUAAGUGGCCAGUUGGCUAUGUGAUUUAAGAUUUCCGGGAAGAUUCCAGGAACAGAGGUGUAUACUUGAGAGUCACCAGCAGUUAGAGGGUAUAUCAACAUUUGAAAUUUGAGCACAGUAAAGAGGAAUGAAAAAAGGAAACAGAGAAGGCCAACCAGAGAAGUAGGAAGAAACAGAAAGACUAGGUGUCAGGGAUGUGUAAUGAAAGAUGGAUUUUCUUUCUAUUCCCAAUUCCUAGUUUCUCUCCCCAGUAUCCUUCCAGCAGGUGUAAGCAAAUAGUAUAAACCAGUGGAUUCGUAUUCUCUAAAGAUACUCAAACACAGAUAGGAAGAUACCAUAAUACUAAUUUAUGAUUUGCUUUCUUAACAGUGUAUUUUGAAGCUCUACCCAUGUUAACAUGUUGAUCUGUCUUUUUCUGUGACUUCACAGCAUUUGAAAUUCAUUUUCAUUGUCUAAGCAGCCCUCCAUUUUUCAGAUGUGUCUUAUAAAAGGAUAAAAAAAAAAAAAAGAUACACACAAUAAUAUAAAGAGUAAGAAGCCACCCAAACAUGAAACGUUCCUAUUUUAAUUAAUGAGGACUUGCAGCAUCAGAGCUGACCUGAACUUUGAGAUUUAAUGAUUGCCAAAGCUGAGGAUUAUAGAACCAGCAACGAUGUAGAGUGAGCUACUCAAUCUCCAAAAGAGAGAAAUGUGGAAAAACCACAGUUUCCCUUGUGUGGUUUUCACCCACUCAAAAGUAAUAGAAUUCAGUGAAUUCCUCCUGACAAUGUAGUGCAAUGGAGUUAUUAAAACCAUCCAAUCAUACACCCUGCUGCUGUUAUCCUUACUCCAAUUAAAUAAAGAAAGUAGCUUAUUCUGGUUUUAUUGAGGUAUAAGUAGAAAAAUUCAACCUGCUGUUUUCUGAAACAGUAAUAACGAGCUAAAACUUUGCUUCUCUGUGUCUGUAUGUCUGAACAAUUAUGUUUCUUACCGUAGUCAAGCAAUCAGCCUUAUAAAAAGUCUAAUCACUGGGUGCUUUUAUUACCACUGAACUACUCAGACUCAUUUGCUAGGUAGCUCGUAAUUGUAAAACAGCUUUUUUUGCACACAGAAAUAGACUUUGUAUAAUAAUCAGUAUACGAUUAGUCACUAUAAACAAACACAUUACUUAAAACAGUAAUGACUUCUGAGAUAAAAAUUUCUCACACUUUUGUUCACUUACUGAUCAUUGCGUUUAAGCAUCAUUAAUGAGCCAUUAGCAAUUUGCGUUAAUACAGUUGAGAUGUCAUCUUUUUUCCUUGAUAGGUUUGUAAAACUUGCCCAAGUAAUAAGCGUUUCUUGGAUGUUACAGACUUCAGCGGUCCUAAGAUGGCUGGUUUCUAUGACAAAAAGAAGAGGAUGGUGGCCUGGAGCAUGGAAACAGUAGUAGCGAUAGAGGAAAGUGCACAGACUGAAGAGAGAUUUAGGACACAGAACAGACUGAACUUGGUGAUAGUUUAAAUAUGGGAAAAGGGAAUAAAGGGUGACUUCCAGAUUUAUUGAUUGGUCAUCUGGGCAUAUGGUGAGAGAAUACACGGGGAGAGGCAAUUGGGGGUGAGGAUGGUUGUGGUUUUGGGUGAAUUUGGGGUGCCUGUGAGACAUCCAAGUUGAUGAAUCUCAUGUUCAGGAGAGUGGUCCCUGAUAGAGAUUUGAGAAUUAUUAGUUAAUUGGUGGCAACUGAAGCCAUGAGAGUGGAUGAAACAACUCAGAGAAUGCAUGUAAAGGAAGAAGAGAAGAGAACAUGGGAAAGAGCCCUGAAAAUCAUCAACAUUUAGGGGACAGAUAGAGGGAGAGCUACUCUAAAGGAGACUGUGAAGCAAUUGCCAGGUAAGCAGGAGGGAAACCAGCAGAGUGUUGUGCCAGGGAAGAGUAUGCGUCAAUGAGGGAGGGUCGACAGUGUCCAAUCCCUUGAGAUGUCAAGGAGAACAAAGACUUCAAAAUAGCCAUUAAGUUUAAUGAAAAGGAGGAUUUUUGUUUCUUUUGCUUUUUUUGUUUUACCUUGCUAGAUCAGUUUCAGAAGAGUGGCGCAAUUACAAGGUGGAUUACAGUAGAGUAGGAGAGAUUAGGAGUCCCUGCAUGGCACAGUAUGAGUUGGAAUCGAAUCAACCGCAACAGGUUUGGUUUUGGUUGGGGGUGGUCCGGUGGUUAAAGCACUUGGCCACUAACCAAAAGCUCAGUGGUUUGAACCCACCAGCCGCUCUGUAGGGGAAAGAUGUGGCAGUCUGCUUCCGUAAAGAUUAUAGCCUUUGGAAACCCUAUGGGGCAGUUCUUCUCUGUCCUAUAGGGUCGCUAUGAGUUGGAAUCUACUCAAGGCAACAGGUUUUAUGAGUGGUGCAGACAAUUAAGCAUUUGACUACUAGCCAAAUGGUUGGCUGUUUGAACACACCCAGAGGUGCCUCAGAAGACAGGCCUGGCAAUUUGCUUCUGAAGCCCCCAUGGAGCAGUUCUACUCUGCACGCAUGAGGUCACCAUGAGUUGGAAUCAACUUGAGGCAACUAACAACAGGAGGGAGUAAACGGGACGAUUUAGAGAAAGGGAGUGUUGACACUCUUUCAUGAGUUCAUUGGUUAAAUUGAGGAGUUGAGGGUGUUUUUGUUUUGUGUUGCUUUUUUAAGGAAACUUGGGAUUUUUAAUGUCCGAAUGUCAAUGGAAAGGAACUAGCAGAGAGAGAGAAGUUGAAAUUAAGGUUCAGAGCCAGGUCCCCGAGAAGUCAGAAGGAAAAGGUGUUUGGAGCAUGGUGGAGGGAUAAGAGGAGGGGCUUUCUUGCAUAAGCUCUUUAGUUUUGUGAGUUUUGUUUAUUCAUCCAAGUAAUGAAGGAUAAUAAUAUCCUUCUAUGAUGUAGAUAUAUUAUGGAAAGUAAUUGGAUUAAAAUUUUAUGAACUUAUUUUGACCUUUAGCAUGCAGUCAUUCUCCUUUUGUAAAUAAAUAAAUUUAUAUAAGAUAUAUAAAAAUGUAUAUAUAUCCCCUCCCCAUGGGAAAUACACAGGACUUUAAAACAUCCGAGAAUUCUGUACACUGGAGAAUUCUGUAAAAUGAAGUAAGCAUGAGAAUUAAUUUUUUUCAUAUUAAUGGUGUUGCCUCUAAUUAAAAAUGUAAACAAAAGUUGAAUUUUUAUGAAUCAAAUUAUGUUUGUAAUACCCUAAGAAAAUUCAUAAUUUAAAGGACUCAACGCUGAACCAUCUCGAGAGAGGAAAAAAGAUCAUUUGUAAUGUGAAUGGUUAUUCCCUAGUUCAUAUGAUUGUAAAACUGGAUUUCCAUCUAUAGCAGAAGUUAACAAACUUUUUCUGUAAAGGGCCAGAUAGUAAAUAUUUUAGACUUUGUAGUCCAGAAGGUUGCAACUAUUCAACUUUGCUGAUGUAGCUGGAAAACAGCCACAGACAGUAUGUAAAAGAAUAGGCAUGGCUAUGUUCCAAUAAAACUUUAUUUAAAAAACUGGUGGAGGGUCAGAUUUAGCCUGCAGGCUGUAAUUUGCUAACCCCUGUUCUAGAGUUUUGUUAAAAGUGAUACAUGUUCGCGUAUUUUAAAAUAAUAAUAAUGGUAUCAACAGUGUAUGUCCCAGUCCAACAUCCAAAAAUCAGCCUAACUGGCAAAGGGUGAACAUGCUUUAGUGAUUAGUGCAGGGAGUUAAUUCUCAUCCUAUAUGAUAAGUAUGAGACCUACAUAUUUGGAGUAUGUCCUCAGAGUGGCCUUAGGUGUAUGGUUAGGUGAUUAAUGAACAUGAAACCUCAUUAACUUGACAUUUUCUAAUUCGGAAUGUGUGAUAUACUACUGUCUUUGUCUAAUUCUUCUCUGAUAGUAGAAUGUUGAAAGGUUUGCCAGACUGGGUUGGCCCAAAGGAAUGGGCUACUUGGGACUAGCAUGGGGGUUGCAAAAGCCUGGAGUGGAGACAAACUACCAAAAGAGUGCCAAUAUCAGGGAGGAAAACAUGUUCAAAACGUAUUUUCAAACAGAGGAAACCUUGGACAAGCAUCUAAAGGUGCAAAGCUGAACAAGGUUCAGUGAAUGAAGGAAUAUAAGAAGUGAGUUGUACAAAAGGAGGUGGUCUGGAUUAAUUCCAGAAAUGGCAGUCUUUAUGCCCAAUGCUACAUUUUUAAUGGCUUCAUAAGCAAACUGGACCAAUAAACACUUGACUCCCUAAAGACCAUCACUGGGUGUGUGAGACCAAGCUUUUCUCACACUUCUGAGGGAAAUUCAAUACUCUCACUCCUGAGGUAGCAGGUGGGCUCUUGCAAUUGCCUCUGAAGUUCCUACAACAUAGCGCAAUAUUUGUAUCGAAUCAUGAGAGCUAAUUGCUGGAUAAUGAAACAGAAAGUAAGAUCUCAGCAGGCUGGGCCAGGCAAGGAGUAGUGGAAGAUGGAUCAUGAGGGCAGUGAUAGAAUGAGAAGAUACUGAGGCUGACAGUUCACCUUAAAGGAUUCUAAGUAGCAGGUCUGUUGCAGACUUUUGAGAAUGAUUCAUGUUGUUUUCUAUUCCUCCCUCCUCCCUUAAGACUUGGUGUUGGUCAGCAUAUUUUUUCUUGUAUCACCUCAACAUCAUGGGAUGAUUCGGAGGUAAUCCUGAAUGACUUAUUAUAACUCUGGGCAAUGGCUGACCAUUAAGUUAUUAGAACGGGGAAGUUAGAGGUUAGAAAAAAAUUCUGCAGUGGCAAAAGAAGCAGCCCAAUUGUGUUGUCACUAGAAGAUAUAGCAGAAGAGGUAUCCCUCUAGCACUCACUGAAACCCUCAAUCUUUGCAUUUUCCUCUCCCCCCCCCACCUCCGCCUCCCUUUCUUUGUCUUCUUCUCCCCUCCCUUUAUUUGGUAAAAUGUUGAACUAGUCCCACUUUUCUCCUUAUGCACUCAUUUUUGACCAUGGGCAUUUCUCUUUGGGUCUGCUAAAGACUCCCAAAUAGUGUGGGUAGGUCUUCCUGUGUCCCCCUCCGUGUUUACCAGGGAUCAUUCUCCUCUCAGAACCUGAGCUCAGGCUUGGUGUUGAUGCAUGUUUAUUUUUUCUUCUGUCCCAGCUACCUGAGAGCCUGGGCAGGGAAAAUGGCUCAGGCCUGGGCAGCUAUACUACAUCUGUGUUCUUUUAACCUGAAAUUAUGUUCCACCUUGGCACAAAGGGCCCCUCCAUGGAUUGGGGUCUCCAUUUUCCCAUAGAAGGGCUCUCACACUGAGCUGAUGUACAGACCUCUCUGGUCUCAGACAUCACUGACUUACUCCUCGGACCCCUACUCCUGCACACCCAAUCUGGGCAAGGUUUUGUGUGAUUCUAUGACCUUUCUUAUGAAAACCUUACUCCUCACACUUUCCCUGCCUGUCUUCUACUGGUAGAAAUUUUUAAAGAGAAGAAUCUUUGUGAUUCUUAUAGCCCAUGCCAAAGCUUUGUCCACUGACUGUAGGGAAGAUGGGUCCUGUUAGGGGGUUCUUUCUUUGUCUCAUAGCUUACUGACUGCCGUGGAUUGGAUUGUGUCCCUCCAAAAUAUAUGACAAUGUGAGUAGGCCAUGAUUCCUAAUAUUGCGUAGUUGUCCUCCAUUUUAUGAUCUGAUGUAAUUGUCCUACGCGUUGUAAAUCCUCGUCUCUGACUGUGGUUAAUGAGGCAAGACUAGGUUAUGUUAAAGAAGAUUAGGGUGGGAUGCCACAUCCUUACUUAGGUCCCAACCCUGAUCCGAUGUAAGGGAAGUUUUCCUGGGGUGUGCCUGCAUCACCUUUUAUCUUAGAAGAGAUAAAAGGAAAGAGAAGCAAUCAGAGAGAGGGAGUUCAUUAUCAUCAAGAAAGAAGAGCGAGGAGUGGAGCACAUCCUUUGGAUCUGGUAUCCUUGCACUGAGAACCUACUAAACCCAGGGAAAGAAUGAAGCCAAGACACAUGGAUAUCUCCAACGAACAUUGGGCCCACAGAUGUUGAAAGAAAACAGAGAUGUUCCCCCAGAGCCGACAGAGAGAAAUAGCCUUCCUCUAGCUAGAGUUAGCACCCUGAAUUUGGACUUCUAGCCUCCUAAACCGUGAGAGCGUAAAUUUCUGUUUGUUAAAGCCAUCCACUUGUAGUAUUUCUGUUAUAGUGGCACUAGAUAACUAAGACACCCACCAUACUAGGCAAUAUUGUCCCACCACGUUGGGGUUAAUGAUUUUUUUUUUUUUUUUGAGAAUUUUGUC